rnacentral:rRNA from 1 species
AACGAACGCUGGCGGCAGGCUUAACACAUGCAAGUCGAACGCCCCGCAAGGGGAGUGGCAGACGGGUGAGUAACGCGUGGGAAUCUACCUAGUUCUACGGAACAACAGAGGGAAACUUCUGCUAAUACCGUAUACGCCCUAAGGGGGAAAGAUUUAUCGGAAUUAGAUGAGCCCGCGUAAGAUUAGCUAGUUGGUGGGGUAAUGGCCUACCAAGGCGACGAUCUUUAGCUGGUCUGAGAGGAUGAUCAGCCACACGGGGACUGAGACAAGGCCCAGACUCCUACGGAAGGCAGCAGUGGCGAAUAUUGGACACUGUGCUCAAGCCUGAUCCAGCCAUGCCGCGUGAGUGAUGAAGGCCUUAGGGUUGUAAAGCUCUUUCAGUGGGGACGAUAAUGACGGUACCCACAGAAGAAGCCCCGGCUAACUUCGUGCCAGCCGCCGCCGUAAGAC